GACGAACGCUGGCGGCGUGCUUAACACAUGCAAGUCGAACGAAGAGCGACGGAAGCUUGCUUCUAUCAAUCUUAGUGGCGAACGGGUGAGUAACGCGUAAUCAACCUGCCCUUCAGAGGGGGACAACAGUUGGAAACGACUGCUAAUACCGCAUACGAUCUAACCUCGGCAUCGAGGAUAGAUGAAAGGUGGCCUCUACAUGUAAGCUAUCACUGAAGGAGGGGAUUGCGUCUGAUUAGCUAGUUGGAGGGGUAACGGCCCACCAAGGCGAUGAUCAGUAGCCGGUCUGAGAGGAUGAACGGCCACAUUGGGACUGAGGCACGGCCCAGACUCCUACGGGAGGCAGCAGUGGGGAAUCUUCCGCAAUGGACGAAAGUCUGACGGAGCAACGCCGCGUGAGUGAUGACGGCCUUCGGGUUGUAAAGCUCUGUUAAUCGGGACGAAAGGCCUUCUUGCGAAUAGUGAGAAGGAUUGACGGUACCGGAAUAGAAAGCCACGGCUAACUACGUG
rnacentral:rRNA from 1 species